UUUUAUGCCAGCAAUCCCCAAGCAAUCAGCCAGGGCAGUCACAUAUUUUAUAUAGCACCCUGGACCAAACGGAAAUCAAGGGGCCUUUGUUUGUUGAGUGUUGACCAAGGGGCGUGCGAGAGGCCUUUUUGUUAUUGACUUUCUGUGAGGGGACAUGAGGCCUUUUUGUUAUUGACUUUCUGUGAGGGGACAUGAGGCCUUUUUGUUAUUGACUUUCUGUGAGGAGACAUUGUGUCUCCGGCGUUCAAUGAUUCAUUUGGACUUGUCUGUGCCUCUCUGACCAUGUGAGACAGGGACACAGGUCUUCUUCUCUGAAUUCGGGCAUGUGUCAGAUUUUUGUUUUAGGUUAGGGC
rnacentral:lncRNA from 1 species